rnacentral:rRNA from 1 species
UACGAGGGGGGCAAAUGUUGUUCGGAAUCACUGGGCGUAAAGAGCUCGUAGGCGGUUUGUCGCGUCGUCUGUGAAAUUCUGCAACUCAAUUGUAGGCGUGCAGGCGAUACGGGCAGACUUGAGUACUACAGGGGAGACUGGAAUUCCUGGUGUAGCGGUGAAAUGCGCAGAUAUCAGGAGGAACACCGGUGGCGAAGGCGGCCCACUGGGCAGUCACUGACGCUGAGGCGCGAAAGCUCGGGGAGCGAACGGG